CAAGUUGCAAGAUACCACUGCUUCUUUUAAGAGUGAUGGGUUUCCCAGGUGAUACUUGAAAGAAGAGAUAACGACCACCUAUCUCCUUCAUCCUGGUUACACAGGAAGGCUAUGGACUCCUUUUGGCAUUUCUGCCUCAGCAACAGAGGAUAAAAGUCAUGUUGUGAUGGAUAAGUCACAAAAGUAAAAAAUACAGACGUGGACUACAGGCCUCCAAAGAAGAAUUGAGCAUGCUGAGGAUCGAUGCCAGACAUUGGACAUUUUUGAGGUGUUAAGAGGUGUGCAUGCUUCCAACAUUGUGAAGAUGUGUGUGCUUUCCAGUCACCUUCCACCAUGACUGUAAGUUUUCUGAGGCUGCCCA
rnacentral:lncRNA from 1 species